GAAGGAAGGAAGGAAGGAGGGGGGAAAAGAAACAAGAGAAAAAAGCUCUUGGAUUAGUUUGUUAGUGCUGCCGUCACAAAGGAUACGUGGCCAGUACUCCUUAAGACCGCCAUGGUCAUGCAAAACACAGAAAAAUUGACAAAGUAUCACAGACCAGAGGAGACUGAGGAAACAAGUCAACAUGGUACCCUACACUGGAUCCUGGAACAGCAAUGGAAAAAAAAUCAGAGAAAUCCAAAUCCAGUCUGAAGUUUACUGAACAGUAAUAUGCCAGUGUGACUUGCUUAGUUUAGAAAAUUUACUGUGGUAAUGUAACUGGGUGAGAAGUAUGCAAAUUCCUUGUACUGCCUUUGCAAAUUUUCUGUACAAAAGUCCAUAAAUAAAAACAAAAAAGUUUA